rnacentral:rRNA from 1 species
GUGGGUAGUUUGACUGGGGCGGUCUCCUCCUAAAGAGUAACGGAGGAGCACGAAGGUUAGCUAAUCCUGGUCGGACAUCAGGAGGUUAGUGCAAAGGCAUAAGCUAGCUUGACUGCGAGAGUGACGGCUCGAGCAGGUGCGAAAGCAGGUCUUAGUGAUCCGGUGGUUCUGAAUGGAAGGGCCAUCGCUCAACGGAUAAAAGGUACUCCGGGGAUAACAGGCUGAUACCGCCCAAGAGUUCAUAUCGACGGCGGUGUUUGGCACCUCGAUGUCGGCUCAUCACAUCCUGGGGCUGAAGUAGGUCCCAAGGGUAUGGCUGUUCGCCAUUUAAAGUGGUACGCGAGCUGGGUUUAGAACGUCGUGAGACAGUUCGGUCCCUAUCUGCCGUGGGCGCUGGAGAAUUGAGGGGGGCUGCUCCUAGUACGAGAGGACCGGAGUGGACGCAUCACUGGUGUUCGGGUUGUCAUGCCAAUGGCAUUGCCCGGUAGCUAAAUGCGGAAGAGAUAAGUGCUGAAAGCAUCUAAGCACGAAACUUGCCCCGAGAUGAGUUCUCCCUGACUCCUUGAGAGUCCUGAAGGAACGUUGAAGACGACGACGUUGAUAGGUCGGGUGUGUAAGUGUAGCGAUACAUUGAGCUAACCGAUACUAAUGAACCGUGAGG